GUUGGACACGACUGAAGCAACUUAGCAGCAGCAGCAGCAGAUUAAACUUUUGCUGCAUGCUGGGGUUAGAGACAGAAGCUGAGGUAAAAUGAUACCUCGAAAAACAUCCCUGGACUUUGAUACUAACUAUUCUUGGAUGAAGUUGGCUGGUCAAACACCCAAAACUGAUGAGGUAGCUCUACUGGGAUGAUGUUUUUCGGAGGACCUGGGAGCCCUGUGAGAAAGAACUUAUCCUAUGGGAAGAAGAAAUGAAUCUACAAGUCUGGCCAAAUAUAGAAAUCUUUGUUCCCAAAUAAGUAACUUUCAGAGGAAGAACAUGGAGCUUGUUCCUCAGGUAUGAUUGUCAUCUCAGGUCUACCUGUACUCAUGUUUAUAUUUGCAGGAAGGAGGAAGAAGAAUAAAUAAAAGCCAAUAAAUGCUAUUUUGUAUCUAAAAUGUAUAAGAUAUUGGAGCACAAACUAUGAUGCCUUAGAUUACUGAUAAGGGAGUACAAUGAAGAACAAGAGAAGAGAAUUUUACCCACUUUCCCACAUACAUCUGCAAUAAUUCUUAACCUUUGGUAAAAGUAAUAUACUGAUGUUAGAAUAAUAUACAUACAGAUAUAUUUAGAAACACAUUCAGCAUAUGAAUUCUAGCAGUCCAUGUGGUCCCAUGUGAUAUGUCCCUGCUAACAUUCUCAUGGAGCGAGCAGUGACAACACAGGGGCACUGGUGCCUGGUAGAGGUGAUAAUCUUAGUGGAAUUAACUGUAAGCAGGAGAUAAGUAGAACAUGACUGGAGAGUGAUGCACAGGAAGUGAGAGUAUUACCAGUGGAGUGAACCAUUAGCUAGUAGGAAGUAGCACUACCCAAGAUAGAGUGAUACCUUUUUAAAACUGCAGAGUCAGUUGAAGUCUCUACUGUAGGCAUUGCUUUGAGUAGUGAGUUUGUAGAAGAAAUAGAACCUGUAUUGUUGUAGGGCUUCCCAGGUGGUACAGUGGUAAAGAAUCUGCCUGCCACAAAUGGAUAAGGAAGUU